CUCUGUUACUGAUGGUUAUGGUCUGGUCCGGUCCAAGUGUUCCCAGGCUCUUCUCGGCCCUUAUCCAGGGAACUGAAAAUAAAGAGCUUCACUCAGAUGUGCAAAGGAAACAAGGAAAGCUACAGAGACUGACUGGAGCCCUGCCCGAGAGAGACACUAUGUGAAUUUCAAAUAACAGUCGUAGGAAGGUGUAGCUCUCACAGCUUAUCAAGAAACUUCUUCUUGCACUAGAAGAGGGCCAUUACAAAUAUCCACGUCCGUCCAAAUGCAGAGAGCAACUGCCCAUGGGGUGCCCAACCACAACUGAUGCAUCUAUAACACAACCUUCACACCUAAGGCUCAGGGAACAUCACAGACGUUGGGGGUGAGAAGACUGAAGUACCCAGAGGACCAAGAUGACUGGGAAGCAGCACUCAUGAAAUCUCAAAGAUAUGGGCACAAUGAGCAAGACUUGCACAAUGACAAUACCAGUUGACAUGCCAACAUGAACGGAGGAAAUGUCACAGUGUCUUAUCCCUGGAUAAAGAAUUACAGGCAAUUAUUGGAUACUGAGAGGGUGCAAACCAGUCUUCUCCAGGGAUGGGCCUCCAUCCCAGCUUACCUAAACCCAAGUACUCAGCCCUAUACUAAUACACAUACAGGCAAUACAAAGUAGACAUAAUUAAAGAAGAAGAGGUCAUGAACUCAACAAGGAGGGAGCAUCAGAGGAUUUUGAGGAGGGAGGGAUAGAAAUGAUGCUAAUGCAGUACUUAUAUAUGAAAUUCUCAAAAUAAAACAAUAAAUUUAAAAAGAGAAGGAAAAUUGUUCACAAGGAACUUAUUACAUAUGUUCAUAAAUAUAGAUAUUUUAGCACAAACUGGACAUUAUGAAAUGUUAAUACCAUUGUUGAACAUAAUAAAGAAUGGCUACAUUCAA